GUGCUCGCUUUGGCAGCACAUAUACUAAAAUUGGAACAAUACAGAGAAGAUUAGCACAGCCCCGGCGCAAGGAUGAUACACAAAUCCGUGAAGUGUUUCAUAUUUUA
ensembl:snRNA U6 U6 spliceosomal RNA